UGAUGCACAUCAACUAGGCACUCCCUCAGGGUCACUGCUCAGGGGCGCGCCUUGGGCCCUUGCCUCCAUAGGCUUCAGACGGGGCCAUGCCCCCCAGAAUCCUUUAUCGGACUACCCUUCAAUAUCCGGGGGAGGUGAUGGCGCUCCUCCCCCCCAUACAUCUACAUAACAAUACCCAUACCAAUGCCUAACCGCCACUUGAGCAAAGCUCGCCGCCAAUACCCUCAGACCUGCAACCAAUCAAUGGAUCCAAACUACAAGAAAGAAGAUUCCACCUAAACAUUAGGAAGAACUUCCUGACAGUAAGAGCUGUCCGACAGUGGAAUUUGCUGCCAAGGAGUGUGGUGGAGUCUCCUUCUUUGGAGGUCUUUAAGCAGAGGCUUGACAACCAUAUGUCAGGAGUGCUCUGAUGGUGUUUCCUGCUUGGCAGGGGGUUGGACUCGAUGGCCCUUGUGGUCUCUUCCAACUCUAUGAUUCUAUGAUUCUAUAAUUUAAUCCCUAAUCCCUGCAGAUAUGUCAGCCAACCAAACAUCGUUUCCCGCAUUGGAAAGAGGCACGCCAUCCUCGUGGCAGAGGGUCACCUUGCUGAACUGGAUGUUGGGCUGGUCAAUGUCCCGCCCCCCCAGCGCUGCCACUCUUCGAGCCACUGAGCAUUCCAGAAUCUUUCUGGAUUUGUUUAUAGCAAUAGGACAUCGGCAGUCCCUCCAAGUGCGCCUUUCCAACAGUGGUGACCAAAUUAUGACUAAAUUUGGGAAAGAAAUCCUCAGAUCAUCAAAAUCAUCGAAAAUGUUCCACAUUAAGUCCACGCCCUUCCGGUAGGCCAAAUCUAACCAGCCUGGGCCAGUUUCAAAUGAUAUCCAUCUGUUCCAACCGGCCUGGACCUGCUUGAAGCUGUCUGGAACUGUUCAAACUUGCUUGGGCCUGUUCAAACCAGCCUAGACCUCAGACUGGUUGAAACAGGUCUGGGCUGGUUUGAACCGGUCCAAGUCGGUUGAAACAGGUCCAAGCCGGUUAAAACCGGUCUUGGCCCGCUAUGAACCUGGUCUAAGCCAGUUUGUGCCAGUCCAAGCCGGUUUGAACUGGUCUUGGCUGUUUUAUACCGGUCUAGGCCAGUUUGAACAGGCCAAUUCCAACCCACUUGGAACUGCUCAAACUGGCUUGGGCCGUUUCAAACCGGCCUAGACCUAUUCAAACCAGCCAAGACCGGUUCAAACUGGCUUGUACUGGCUCAAACCUGCCUAGACCGGUUCAUACUGGCCUAGACCGGUUCCAACCGGCUUGGACCUGUUUCAACCGACCUGGACCCGUUCAAACAAGGCUAGACCUGUUCCAAGCAAUCUGAGCCAGUUCCAACCAGUCUCGGCCAGUUCAAACUGGUCUGGGCAAGCUGGAACCCGCAUGGACUUUUCCCAAUUGGUUUCAGCUGGUUCCAACUGGCUUGGACUGGUUCCAACUGAUCUGAACUGGUUCCAACAGAAUUGAUGGUAACAGGGCGCCAGGGCACUGAAUGUGGACCUUUCAGUACCGCAUUUCCAAAUCAGGUGACUGCAUUUUGAUCGGGAACAAAGGGAAGCGAAUCUCUGAGAAUCUGGUGAGAAGCACUUCAAAAGGGACAUAGCAAUGCGGGGGGAGUGUUCAACAGCUUGUAAUUCAAGCACUCCACCAGGCUGUAAGAUAGCAAAUUUCAAAAGGGCUUUCUCAGGGGACUGUGGUGUCAAACUGACCCCAGAGACUUUGAGAAUGCAUUGUGAGCUGAAUUGGCCAAGCCAGGUUGCGUGGCGAGUUCCCACCUCCCACCUAUCUGACUAUCCGGCUUCAGCCUGCUUGCUUGAAAAUCCGGAAGGGUUAACACCAGCAGGGGAGCCCUGCUGAUGCACAUCAACUAGGCACUCCCCCAGGGUCACUGCUCGGGGGGGGGGGGGUGGUGCCUUGAGCCCUGGCCUCCAUAGGCUUCAGACGGGGCCAUGCUCCCCAGAAUCCUUUAUCGGACUACCCUUCAAUAUCCGGGGGAGGUGAUGGCACUCCUCCUCCCAAACAUCUACAUAACAAUACCCAUACCAAUGCCUAACCGCCACUUGAGCAAAGCUCGCCGCCAAUACCCACAGACCUGCAACCAAUCAAUGGAUCCAAACUACAAGAAAGAAGAUUCCACCUAAACAUUAGGAAGAACUUCCUGACAGUAAGAGCUGUUCGACAGUGGAAUUUGCUGCCAAGGAGUGUGGUGGAGUCUCCUUCUUUGGAGGUCUUUAAGCAGAGGCUUGACAACCAUAUGUCAGGAGUGCUCUGAUGCUGUUUCCUGCUUGGCAGGGGUUGGACUCGAUGGCCCUUGUGGUCUCUUCCAACUCUAUGAUUCUAUGAUUCUAUGAUUCAAUCCCUAAUCCCCGCAGAUAUGUCAGCCAACCAAACAUUGUUUCCCGCAUUGGAAAGAGGCACGCCAUCCUCGUGGUAGAGGGUCACCUUGCUGAACUGGAUGUUGGGCUGGUCAAUGUCCCGCCCCCCCAGCGCUGCCACUCUUCGAGCCACUGAGCGUUCCAGAAUCUUUCUGGAUUUGUUUAUAGCAAUAGGACAUCGGCAGUCCCUCCAAGUGCGCCUUUCCAACAGUGGUGACCAAAUUAUGACUAAAUUUGGGAAAGAAAUCCUCAGAUCAUCAAAAUCAUCGAAAAUGUUCCACAUUAAGUCCACGCCCUUCCGGUAGGCCAAAACUAACCAGCCUGGGCCAGUUUCAAAUGACAUCCAUCUGUUCCAACCGGCCUGGACCUGCUUGAAGCUGUCUGGAACUGUUCAAACUUGCUUGAGCCUCUUCAAACCAUCCUAGACCUCAGACUGCUUGAAACAGGUCUAGGCUGGUUUGAACCGGUCCAGGUCAGUUGAAACAGGUCCAAGCCGGUUGGAACCGGUCUAGGCCAGUAUGAACCGGUCUAAGCCAGUUUGUGCCAGUCCAAGCCGGUUUGAACUGGUCUUGGCUGUUUUGUACCGGUCUAGGCCAGUUUGAACAGGCCAAUUCCAAGCCACUUGGAACUGCUCAAACUGGCUUGAGGCCUGCUUUCAAACCAGCCAAGACCGGUUCAAACUGGCUUGUACUGGCUCAAACCUGCCUAGACCGGUUCAUACUGGUCUAGACCGGUUCCAACUGGCUUGGACCUGUUUCAAACGACCUGGACCGGUUCAAACAAGCCUAGACCUGUUCCAAGCAAUCUGAGCCAGUUCCAACCAGUCUGGGCCAGUUCAAACUGGUCUGGGCGAGUUGGAACCCACAUGGACUUUUCCCAAUUGGUUUCAGCUGGUUCCAACUGGCUUGGACUGGUUCCAACUGAUCUGAACUGGUUCCAACAGAAUUGAUGGUAACAGGGUGCCAGGGCACUGAAUGUGGACCUUUCAGUACCGCAUUUCCAAAUCAGGUGACUGCAUUUUGAUCGGGAACAAAGGGAAGCUAAUCUCUGAGAAUCUGGUGAGAAGCACUUCACAAGGGACAUAGCGAUGCGGGGGGAGUGUUCAACAGCUUGUAAUUCAAGCACUCCACCAGGCUGUAUGAUAGCAAAUUUCAAAAGGGCUUUCUCAGGGGACUAUGGUGUCAAACUGACCCCAGAGACUUUGAGAACGCAUUGUGAGCUGAAUUGGCCAAGCCAGGUUGCGUGACGAGUUCCCACCUCCCACCUAUCAGACUAUCUGGCUUCAGCCUGCUUGCUUGAAAAUCCGGAAGGGUUAACACCAGCAGGGGGAGCCCUGCUGAUGCACAUCAACUAGGCACUCCCUCAGGGUCACUGCUCGGGGGCGUGCCUUGGGCCGUGGCCUCCAUAGGCUUCAGACGGGGCCAUGCCCGCCAGAAUCCUUUAUCGGACUACCCUUCAAUAUCCGGGGGAGGUGAUGGCGCUCCUCCCCCCCCCAUACAUCUACAUAACAAUACCCAUACCAAUGCCUAACCGCCACUCGAGCAAAGCUCACCGCCAAUACCCUCAGACCUGCAACCAAUCCCUAAUCCCCGCAGAUCUGUCAGCCAACCAAACAUCGUUUCCCGCAGUGGAAGGAUGCACGCCAUCCUCGUGGUAGAGGGUCACCUUGCUGAACUGGAUGUUGGGGUGGUCAAUGUCCCCCCCCCCAGCGCUGCCACUCUUCGAGCCACUGAGCGUUCCAGAAUCUUUCUGGAUUUGUUCAUACCAAUAGAGCAUCGGCAGUCCCUCCAAGUGCACCUUUCCAACAGUGAUGACCAAAUUGUGACUUAAUUUGGGAAAGAAAUCCUCAGAUCAUCAAAAUCAUCGAAAAUGUUCCACAUUAAGUCCACGCCCUUCCGGUAGGCCAAAUCUAACCAGCUUGCGCAAGUUUCAAAUGACAUCCACCUGUUCCAACCGGCCUGGACCUGCUUGAAGCUGUCUGGAACUGUUCAAACUGGCUUGGGCCUGUUCAAACCAGCCUAGACCUCAGACUGGUUGAAACAGGUCUGGGCUGGUUUGAACCGGUCCAAGUCGGUUGAAACAGGUCCAAGCCAGUUAAAACCGGUCUUGGCCCGUUUGAACCUGUCUAAGCCAGUUUGUGCCAGUCCAAGCCGGUUUGAACCGGUCUUGGCUGGUUUGUACCGGUCUAGGCCCAUUUGAACAGGUCUAGGCCAGUUUGAAAUGGCCCAAGCCAGUUUGAGCAGUUCCAAGUGGGUUGGAACUGGCCCAGAUAGGUUGGAGCAGGUCCAGGCCAGUUGGAGCAGGUGCAGGUCAUUUGAAACUGGCCCAGCUGGUUAGAACAGGUCCAGGCCGGUUGGUACAGGACUAUUUCGCUUGGGACCAGUGCAGCCCAGUUGGAACCAGUUCAUACCAGUUGGGUCUGGUCCAUGCCGGUUGGAACCAGCCCAAAGCAGUUGGGAAAGGCCCAGGUGGUUUUCAAUUUGCACAGACCAGUUGGAACUGGCCCAGACUGGUUGGAACAGGUCUAGGGUGGUUUGAACCAGUCCAAUUCGGUUGAAACAGGUCCAAGCUGGUUGGAACCUGUCUAGGCCGGUUUUAACAGGUCUAGAUAGGUUUGUGCCGGUCCAAACCGGUUUCAAUCGGUCAAGGCAGGUUUGAACCGGUCUUGGUCGGAUUGAACAGUUCUAAGUGGGUUGGAACUGGCCCAGACAGUUUGGAGCAGGUCCAGGACAGUUGGAGCUGGUCCAGGUCAUUUGAAACUGGACCAAGCUGGUUACAACAGGUCCAGGCUGGUUGGAACAGGUCUAUGUCGCUUGGAACCAGCCCAGACCUGUUGCAAUCAUUUCAUACCAGUUGGAUCCAGCCCAAGCCAGUUGGAACCAGCCCAAAGCAUUUGGAAAAGGUCCAGGCGGGUUCCAACUUGCCCAGACCAAUUUGAACUGGCCCAGACAGGUUGGAACUAGCUCAGACUGUUUGGAAGAGGUCUAGACUGGUUUGAACCAGUCCAAGCUGAUUAGUGCCGGUUGAAGCCGGUUUGAACUGCUCUAUGCUGGUUUGAACCGGUCAAAUUCAGUUUCAAAUGACCUGCACCUGCUCCAACUGGCCUGAACCUACUCCAACCUGUCUGGGCC